rnacentral:misc_RNA from 1 species
AACGCACCUUGCACUCCUCUGGAGUAUGCCUGUUUUAGCUUCUAUAGUAUUAAUUACUUUCGAUUUCAUUCGUGAAUGACUAGGGAGAUAUGAAGUUCCCAUCCCCAGGGUGGGUUCUUUUAACUAGAUUGCUACUGGUAAUAUGAAAAUGUUUGACAUUUCUCUGUAUCUAUUUGAAAAGUAUGUGGAUGAAAACGUGGUUUCUCAUGAUGCGUAUUAUUAUAGAGGAGACUUGGAGUUUUCAUAUGAGCAGUUUAGCCCAUACCUAUUAAAGGCGCAAGCCUUGAACCAUGGUCUCAAAUCAGGUAGGAAGACCCGCUGAACUUAA